UGGAGGGAGAAGAAGAAGGAGGACGAGGAGGAGGAGGAGGAGGACGGGGAGGAGGAGGAGGAGGAGAGAGCGGAGUAUACCGCAGACAUCAUUUCUACUACAGUGGCGGAGCCGUCCAGGACCUGUUUCACUGCAGGGGGACCACAAAACAAGCCCCGCGGAGCAGCCGCCGGAGCUACAGCAGCCGCAAGACACUGUUUCUCUCCCUCUGCCCCCCCUUCCCCACGCAACCCCAGAUCCAUUUACACUUUACAGAGCAUCGUGCAGCAGCCAGUCCCCAGGGUGGUCCGUUCAAGCUGCGGAUUUGUUUGCCAUCACUCUAAGACAAUCUCCUCCUCCACGGCCACUCCAGGGAAGUGCAUCAGAAAUCAGCAUACUGGAGCAAAAUGAAAGAAUUUGUUCUGAGGCCUCAAAAGUAGUGCUGCUACGGACCAUGAGCAAGAAAGGGUGGACUUCAGCCUGCACGGAUGGUCUUGAAACACAAAUAGUUGUGGGUAAGUCAUCCAAAGGACUUGGCAUUCAUUAGCUCUAGAUUUCAUCAAUCAUCAUUUAUUUGGUGUCUCAGGACAUCUUAGUCGAGUGCAGGGCUAUUUCUCUACAACCCAAGCAACAGGCUGUGUGAGAAAAUGUUGUUCUAGUGAUGGAGAGCCAAGAGAACAAUGAAAUUGACUUAGCAUGUUUGUUUCUAAAAUUUGCAGAGUAAAAACAAAACAAAACAAAACAACAAAAAAAUAAAAUUUGCAGAGUAGCGGGAUCUGAGUACA
rnacentral:lncRNA from 1 species